rnacentral:rRNA from 1 species
GAUGAACGCUAGCUACAGGCUUAACACAUGCAAGUCGAGGGGCAGCAUGGUCUUAGCUUGCUAAGGCCGAUGGCGACCGGCGCACGGGUGAGUAACACGUAUCCAACCUGCCGUCUACUCUUGGACAGCCUUCUGAAAGGAAGAUUAAUACAAGAUGGCAUCAUGAGUCCGCAUGUUCACAUGAUUAAAGGUAUUCCGGUAGACGAUGGGGAUGCGUUCCAUUAGAUAGUAGGCGGGGUAACGGCCCACCUAGUCUUCGAUGGAUAGGGGUUCUGAGAGGAAGGUCCCCCACAUUGGAACUGAGACACGGUCCAAACUCCUACGGGAGGCAGCAGUGAGGAAUAGUAGUCAAUGGGCGCAGGCCUGAACCAGCCAAGUAGCGUGAAGGAUGACUGCCCUAUGGGUUGUAAACUUCUUUUAUAAAGGAAUAAAGUCGGGUAUGUAUACCCGUUUGCAUGUACUUGAUUAAUAAGGAUCGGCUAACUCCGUG